AAUCUAAUUCCUGAGUGGGUUUAGCUUGCCGCAGAGGCAGAGGACUUCAGGAGCUAUGGAGCUCCUGAGCACCAGACAAGGUUUGGAUUGUUCCUGUGCUAGAUGCUGGUGGAAAUACGUGGGCAGACAGCUGGAUCCUGAGGAGCUCCCAAUGUCCCAGCAAGUGUGUGAAGGGGUAUUUUACACCUUGUGCAGCCUUCUCGUGCAGCCUUGGGCAGGUCCUUGCACCAGAUGCCACCUCUUUCCACCAGCUGCCUGUGAUCAGGAUUACUUGGGUGCCACAGGGCUGGAGACCUCCUGGGGACCAAUGGAUCAGCUCCACAAAGGGCCCAGCUCCAUCUCUCAGCAGCCAGGAGCAGCAGCAGACAAGCAAAGCAUUCCUGCAGAGCUGGGAUGGGAGUUGUAAACAGGACCUGGGGCCUGCCCCAAACCCAGGGGACUCCCUCCUCCCCCUGCCCGUGCAAACACCAGAUUAACAAUUUAUUUGACGUGUUGUGGCUGGUUGGCUCUUCACCCACUCCCCUGAUCAGAGGGAAUAAGUGUUGCAGUGUGCAAUAAUGUUCAUUUCAGGUGAGGGUAAAUAUAGAAAGGAAAACCUGCUGAGAGCAAGCCAUUUAUUCCUGUGUGUGGAAGCCUCCGCUCAUAAACAGUCAGUCAUGCCCAUUUGGAAAAUCCCAGUGUGGUUUUCUUG